rnacentral:rRNA from 1 species
UACAGAGGGGGCAAGCGUUGUUCGGAAUUACUGGGCGUAAAGGGCGCGUAGGUGGCUUGCUAAGUCAGACGUGAAAUCCCUCAGCUUAACUGGGGAACUGCGUCUGAUACUGGCGAGCUUGAGUGCAGGAGAGGAACGCGGAAUUCCAGGUGUAGCGGUGAAAUGCGUAGAUAUCUGGAGGAACACCGGUGGCGAAGGCGGCAUCCUGGACCAACACUGACGCUGAGUGAGCGAAAGCCAGGGGAGCAAACGGG